UUAAUUGAAGAGUUUGAUCAUGGCUCAGAUUGAACGCUGGCGGCAGGCCUAACACAUGCAAGUCGAGCGGCAGCGACUUAACUGAACCUUCGGGGAACGUUAAGGGCGGCGAGCGGCGGACGGGUGAGUAAUGCCUGGGAAUAUGCCCUGAUGUGGGGGAUAACUAUUGGAAACGAUAGCUAAUACCGCAUAAUCUCUUCGGAGCAAAGAGGGGGACCUUCGG
rnacentral:rRNA from 1 species